rnacentral:misc_RNA from 1 species
UUUCCGUAGGUGAACCUGCGGAAGGAUCAUUAAUGAGUUAGGGUCUUCUAGGCCUGAUCUCCAACCCUUUGUAUAAAUACCAUGUUGCUUUGGCGGGACCGUCUUUAACCGGACCGCCGAAGGUUUUUUAACCUUUGGCCAGUGCUCGUCAAUAGCCCACAAUUAAAUUCUUUCAACCAUGUCAAAUCUGAAAACUAGUUAAAUAAACUAAAACUUUCAACAACGGAUCUCUUGGUUCUGGCAUCGAUGAAGAACGCAGC